rnacentral:lncRNA from 1 species
CAACUUCUGUGUUAUUCUACAUGUUCUAAUUAUUACCAAGUUGAACUUUAAAAAAACGAUACAACAAAUACAGAAGUGUCCACGUCAAGGUUUGAUCAACAAACACUUUAAAAUCAAGAGUGAGGGUUCAGAUGUUAUUUUUAUCAUGUAACUGGUCAAGAUGCCAAUGUGAUAUUCAAAACUUUUAAUUCAAAGAGAAAGAUAACGAAAGGACAGAUAAGUCCUUACAAAACUAUAUACAACACGAACCCAAUUAAAAUAGUAAGCCUUUUAAAAGGGAAAGGGUUAAUUGCACCUCUUUUUUUAAAUCCUCUCAUUUUAAUUGUUUUAUUUGAAUUAAAGUAUGGUGCUAAACCAGAAAUGCUUUCAAAACGGAAAACCUUACAACACAGCCUGUUGUUAAAAUUGUUAAUUGCUGUAAAAAAAAAAAAAAAAAAAAAAAA